CCCUUAGAUGUUCUGGGCCGCACGCGUGCUACACUGAGUGGAUCAGCGGGUCAGGUUGCGCGAAAGUGUUUCCUAAUCUAGAAAUCCGCUCGUGAUGGGGAUUGACGGUUGCAAUUUUCCGUCAUGAACGAGGAAUACCUUGUAAGCGCGGGUCAUCAUCCCGCGCUGAAUACGUCCCUGCCCUUUGUACACACCGCCCGUCGCUCCUACCGAUUGAGUGGUCCGGUGAGGCUUUGGGAUCUGAGCGGAAAGAGCGUUUCGCUGUUUCUGCUCGGAAAACUCAGUCGAACCUUAUCAUUUAGAGGAAGGAGAAGUCGUAACA
rnacentral:rRNA from 1 species